GCGCACCAGGCGAGAAACUUUCCAAUGCGUUAACGCGUGAGAAGGGAACCUCGAGUGGUUGCGCUUUGCGUAACCUUUUGCCAAAUCUAGAAAGUUUGGCGAAUAAGUGGUGGGCAAUACGGGUGCCAGCCGCCGCGGUAAUACCCGAGCCACGAAUGGUGAUCACGAUUACUGGGCCUAAAGAGUCUGUAGCCGGUUUAGCUAAGUUCCUGGUAGAAAUCUGGCAGCUAACUGUCAGGAUGGCUGGAAUACUACUAAACUUGGGACCGGAGAGGUCAGAAGUAUUCCUUGGGUAGGGUUAAAUCCUUAAUCCAAGGAGGACUACCUGUGGCGAAGGCGUCUGACUAGAACGGGUCCGACGGUGA
rnacentral:rRNA from 1 species